CAUCAUUUCUUCUAGAUACUUCUAAAAUCUCUUGAUCGAGAGUUGCUUCUAUGAUCAGCAAUCCUCAAAGAAGCAACACCUACAUUCCAAAGCUCGAGCCUUUUAGCAGGAGCAAGAGCGAUCGAGGAGUCAAAGAGCCUUCCUUCCUCCAAAAAUCCUAGAACGAGCUUGACGAUAUGAUUUCCUUUUCCAAAUUUCUUUUGUAAUGUUUGACAAUUUUUGAACUUGAAUCAACAAAAAUCUGCCAUUCGCACAGGUUCGAUCUUUCGAAAUCGAAGGAAUCUGAGGCUCCUAUCUUCAGGAAAAUUUUGUGGAAAGCAGUGGAAAAGUUCUACUAAGCAGAAUUCUCUAACUGCACAAUUUCCUCUUGCAAGAUCGGAAGGUACCAUAAAUCCUAAGUUUGCUGAAACAUUGGAGGCACAACUCCAUGCUCGUGAAAGAGUACAAGCAUCUCAAUCCCCUCCACUUUAUGAAAAAGCUAAGACAAUCACUUGUUUUGGGGGAAAGUGAAACAUAUGGUGGUUUUGAUGACCCCAUGGAUGGAAACGAGGAUCAUGAAUUUGAAAUGACCACCCUGAUUUUGAGCAAGCAGAGAAUAUCUACAUGGAUGCAGAAGUGCCUUUGCCCCAUGAAAAGCACAAUGACGAUAGUGCGAGUUUUGAUUGCAAUGGAGCCUUUGGACAGGAGGAUCCGAAUUCACAAGCAAGCCUGGAAGAUCUUUGUCGCUCACAUCUUGUAAAGACAUGUUUCCUAGGAUACUUUUUACAUUCAUUUUAUGUGCAUUACACUAUCUGUCAUUAUGUUCUGUUGUGGAAGCCAUUGAUUCGUGUUUCUACAUGAAAUUCAAGAUUGGAUGGUCAAAAUAACAUAAUAUUUUAUGGUGUAUUCAUCCUAGUCCCUAAUUACAUUUUUACUCUAGUAUCAUUUUGCUUGGUACCAAAUGAUCUCUAACCUAAUCAACUGGUUCAAGAUAUGGGUGGUGUGUGUUAGGGUGGGUGAGUGCACCACUGUGAAAAAUCUCUCUUUCGACAUGGUAGUAACAUCUCAAAUUGAAUAGAUGGAAUGAGAGAAGAAGAUGACUACAGACGGAUGGCAGCAAGUGCGCUCAAAACCCCCACACAAACAU